CCUGACCUCGAUUCGAGCGUGAAUACCC
rnacentral:rRNA from 1 species